GGUGUCGUAGCCGAGCGGUUAAGGCGAUCGGCUUAAGCUUGAGGGAGCGUGGGUUCGAGUCCCACCGACACCA